rnacentral:rRNA from 1 species
AGAACGCUAGCGACAGGCUUAACACAUGCAAGUCGAGGGGUAACAGGGUAGCAAUACCGCUGACGACCGGCGCACGGGUGAGUAACGCGUAUGCAACCUGCCUAUAACUGGGGAAUAGCUCCCUGAAAGGGGAAUUAACACCGCAUAACACUAUUGAUUCGCAUGGAUUGGUAGUUAAAUGUAGCGAUACAGGUUAUAGAUGGGCAUGCGUGACAUUAGCUAGUUGGUGAGGUAACGGCUCACCAAGGCUACGAUGUCUAGGGGUUCUGAGAGGAAGGUCCCCCACACUGGUACUGAGACACGGACCAGACUCCUACGGGAGGCAGCAGUGAGGAAUAUUGGUCAAUGGGCGCAAGCCUGAACCAGCCAUGUCGCGUGCAGGAAGACUGCCCUAUUGGGGUUGUAAACUGCUUUUAUAGUAGAAGAAACACAUCUACGUGUAGAUGUCUGCCAGUAUACUAUGAAUAAGCAUCGGCUAACUCCGUGCCAGCAGCUGC